rnacentral:rRNA from 1 species
UCGAGAAUCUUCGUCAAUGGGCGAAAGCCUGAACGAGCGACGCCGCGUGCGGGAUGAAGGCCCUUGGGUUGUAAACCGCUGUCGAGGGGGAUGAAGGCUGGAAGGUACUCCUUCCAGUUUGACAGAGCCCUGGAGGAAGCACGGGCUAAGUUCGUGCCAGCAGCCGCGGUAAUACGAACUGUGCGAACGUUAUUCGGAAUCACUGGGCUUACAGGGUGCGUAGGCGGCUAUUCAGGUCAGGUGUGAAAGCCCUCGGCUCAACCGAGGAACUGCGCUUGAAACCGGAUGGCUCGAGUCAACUAGAGGUGCACGGAACUUCCAGUGGAGCGGUGAAAUGUGUUGAUAUUGGAAGGAACACCGGAGGCGAAAGCGGUGCACUGGGGUUGGUCUGACGCUGAGGCACGAAAGCCAGGGGAGCGAACGG